rnacentral:lncRNA from 1 species
GGGAAGGACUCUCUUGCUGACACUUUUGAUAUCGCCCGACUACUUGAUAAUCUCAAGAACCAUGAUCCUGAUAAGAUCAAUGUGAAAUCCAUCAAGGACUACGCCCAUGCGGAUUUUAUCAUGGGGAAGUCGACUAAGAAAGAUAUCUACAAUGAAAUUAUCACAUUCAUCAAUAACCAGUCGACAAAUUAAAUCAUUCAAAUUUAUGUAUUUUCAUCGUAUUGAUUUUAAAAAAUUAUGCUAAUAAAAAACUCUAAUUUCUACAAAUCUUCGUCAACUAAGUUAUUUUCAUUGUAUUGAUUUAAAAAAAGCAUGCUAAUAAAAAAACUCCCUAAUUUCUACAAAUCUCCGUCAAUCAAGUUAAGAAUAGAGAUGGUAUGGAUAACUCUCUUUUAAUAUUCUUCUCUUAUAUAUGUAACCAAUAAAAUUCACAGCAAAAAGGUUGAAACUUUCAAAGCACAAGUAUAUUAUAUAUCGAUGAAAAGAUUCCAAUGAGAUAGCUGAAAUGAGAUAUUUUUGAGAUAUCUUAGUGUGUAACCAUUGAACAUUCAUCCUAUGGUUUAAAAUCACAUGAGUCAAAUCUCAAAGAUCGACAGAUCAAUUAUUUUGUUCUUCUAUUUUUCAUAAUAUAAGUAAGAACAAAUUAAAGACAAUAGAAAUCAUCAACAAGUCAAGUUAAGAAUAUAGAUGACUCACUUAUGAAAGCUAUCCUCCUCCUCAUUUAUAAGGUGAUGUUCUAGCUGACCAAUUCAUAUCUGUCCAUUCUUAACAAUUGUUUAUAAGAUUUGAUAGAAAUAAAUAUAUAUAAUCCUUUAUAGGAUGAAUUCGAGAUGGAUGGCAGUGAUCAUCAUACUCACCUUAUCAAGCUCCAUUGGUGCUCACUCUUCCAAGAGAAGAAGUAGAAUAUCCGACGAGGUUGAUGGAAUAUGCCAGACGGAAAUAGUGAAGUCUUGUGGUUACAAAUGUCAAGAAUUUGAAGUAAAGCCUUCAAAACUGUCAUUCAUUUCUUCAAUGGACUUUUAUAAAGCUUACCCAUAUGUAGCAUUCAGGUAAAAACAAAAGAUGGGUACAUUCUUAGCAUGC